CGUAAACCGCGUUAGGGAUGGCAGCGGUAUCCUUUUGCGGAAAAAUAAAUUUCUGCGGAGUAAACCAAAACUGUUUCCGCAAAAGAUUUAGCGGACAGCCCGGCCCGCA
rnacentral:sRNA from 1 species